AGGGCACCACCAGGAGUGGAGCCUGCGGCUUAAUUUGACUCAACACGGGAAAACUCACCCGGCCCGGACACUGGAAGGAUUGACAGAUUGAGAGCUCUUUCUUGAUUCAGUGGGUGGUGGUGCGUGGCCGUUCUUAGUUGGUGGAGUGAUUUGUCUGGUUAAUUCCGAUAACGAACGAGACUCUAGCCUACUAAAUAGAUCGUCGGCUUACAAACGCCGGCGAGACUUCUUAGAGGGACAGGCGGUGAUUCAACCGCACGAAACAGAGCAAUAACAGGUCUGUGAUGCCCUUAGAUGUCCGGGGCCGCACGCGCGCUACACUGAAGUGAUCAGCGUGCUUUUUCAACCUACUCUGUCAAGAGUGGGGAACCCAAUGAACCUUCUUCGUGAUUGGGAUAGGGGAUUGUAAUUAUUCCCCUUGAACGAGGAAUUCCCAGUAAGCGCGAGUCAUAAGCUCGCGUUGAUUACGUCCCUGCCCUUUGUACACACCGCCCGUCGCUACUACCGAUUGAAUGUUUU
rnacentral:rRNA from 1 species